GCGGCCGUGGUCUAGCCUGGUCCAGGACACAGAGCGCUGAGCGUGUAGGCCUUCCACGCCUGUUACCCGGGUUCGAAUCCCGGCGGCCGCA
rnacentral:tRNA from 1 species